CUCCGGGUGAUCCUGCCGGACCCGACUGCUAUCAGAGUGAGAUUAAGCCAUGCGAGUCAACGUAGCAAUACGUGGCACACGGCUCAGUAACACGUAGUCAACAUAACCAAAGGACGUGGAUAAACUCGGGAAACUGAGGCUAAACCGCGAUAGAUCAAGAUAUCUGGAAUGGUUUUUGAUCGAAAUCUAUAUGGCCUUUGGAUUGGACUGCGUCCGAUCAGGCUGUUGGUGAGGUAAUGGCCCACCAAACCUGUAACCGGUACGGGCUCUGAGAGGAGGAGCCCGGAGAUGGGUACUGAGAAAAGGACCCAGGCCCUAUGGGGCGCAGCAGGCGCGAAACCUCUGCAAUAGGCGAAAGCUUGACAGGGUUACUCUGAGUGAUUUCCGUUAAGGAGAUCUUUUGGCACCUCUAAAAAUGGUGCAGAAUAAGGGGUGGGCAAGUCUGGUGUCAGCCGCCGCGGUAAUACCAGCACCCCGAGUGGUCGGGACGUUUAUUGGGCCUAAAGCAUCCGUAGCCGGUUCUACAAGUCUUCCGUUAAAUCCACCUGCUUAACAGAUGGGCUGCGGAAGAUACUAUAGAGCUAGGAGGCGGGAGAGGCAAGCGGUACUCGAUGGGUAGGGGUAAAAUCCGUUGAUCCAUUGAAGACCACCAGUGGCGAAGGCGGCUUGCCAGAACGCGCUCGACGGUGAGGGAUGAAAGCUGGGGGAGCAAACCGGAUUAGAUACCCGGGUAGUCCCAGCUGUAAACGAUGCAGACUCGGUGAUGAGUUGGCUUAUUGCUAACUCAGUGCCGCAGGGAAGCCGUUAAGUUUGCCGCCUGGGGAGUACGGUCGCAAGACUGAAACUUAAAGGAUUGGCGGGGGAGCA
rnacentral:rRNA from 1 species